AGAAAACUGGCCCUGCUUCUUACUGGACACUGCAGAAAGAGAGCUGAUACUGACCCUCCUUGGAGAGCUGGCCCCUGCACUCAGGAGAGGUGGACCAACCCCUAACUACAGGAAAAGAAACAAGUCCCCUCAAUUCAGGGAACUUAAUUUCAAUGGUUCUCAGCCUUCCUAAGCUGUUAUCUUUUGAUACAGUUCCUCAUGUUGCAGUGACCCACAAAGGACCCCAGGAAGACAUGGGGAUCGCCCAAUGACAGAGAAAUGGAUGAGAUCUACAUGAACAGCCUGGAUAUGAGUAGGGGUAAUGAAGUCAAGGUUCGAAGGAAAGAGAGCUUGUGGGAGCAGGAGAUCCCAGCUGGAUCAAGAACAGAGAGGGAGAACAAGGAAUAGGAGACCAUGGUAAAUGAAGACCACAUGAGAAUAGGAAGAAGCAAAGUGCUAGAGAGGCCCACACAG